GGCUGUUGAGGAUGUUAUUUGAUCGACAAGAGAAAAGUUUCCCUCCUACAAGGGAAGAGUUUGCACAUCGUUAAUGAAUGAUCAGGAAAAGUUCACCUGUCGCUGAUGAAUGGCAGAAAAGUUUCGUUGUUGUUAGUAGACGACAGGGAAAAGUUCCCAAAAAUGAGAAGUUACUCUCUCAUUCAAGAGCAUCAUAUAUGAUGCUAUGGAAAUUACAAGCUAAGCACCACAAAAACGUGGGAUAAGAAGCCGAUGAUGAGAGCUAGAGCUAUAUUGCUUGCCUUUCCUGCAAAAACAAGAAAUCAAUUUCUUAUUAGACCUUAAAUAAUCAUGGAGCAGAUGGAAAAGUGUACUCUGAUUAAAUAUAUAUACACACACACACACCCGAUCUUGCUUUACUGGUUGGUGGUGGAGAUGGAAGUAGUGGUGCUUGUGAUGUUGGCAAAAUCUCAGCUUCUCAACUGCAGCAGGGUUGUAGAAAAGGUCUAUCUCGCACUGAAAAUUGCAGCUGGGCGUAAUGACUCUCCCUCCUUGCUUCUCAUUGCAACAUUGUGGAAGCGAUCCAGUGGCCUGAGUUAGGCAAUCGCUGCAUUCCUGCUUAGACAAGUCAGAAGUACACUGUUGGAUUUUUUGGGAGGCGUUGGUUGCAGCUUGUAAUGAGAAUCCCCUGCUGCAGCUCAACACCUUAGCCUAUCUAACAACGUCAUCCUCGACAGGUUGAACCUGUUUACAUCUGAGACAUUUUUCAUUCUAUGCACCCGAAAGUAACGUUGUCCUUCCAUCGGCCCAAAUAUGGAGCCAUUUCUGCAGCGUAACAUGCAGUUAUCAGACUCUCCAAUAGCCUCCUUAGAGUUUGGG
rnacentral:misc_RNA from 1 species